UACGGAGGGUGCAAGCGUUAAUCGGAAUUACUGGGCGUAAAGCGCACGUAGGCGGGUCUGUAAGUAGGGGGUGAAAUCCCAGGGCUCAACCCUGGAACUGCCUUCUAGACUGCAGGCCUUGAGGUCAGGAGAGGCGAGUGGAAUACCGAGUGUAGAGGUGAAAUGCGUAGAUAUUCGGUGGAACACCAGUGGCGAAGGCGACUCGCUGGACUGAUACUGACGCUGAGGUGCGAAAGCGUGGGGAGCAAACAGG
rnacentral:rRNA from 1 species